AGAACGACCUUCCAGGCCUCUGGGAUGGGCGUGUCCCCAGAAUCUGCUCCGUUCAGCUUCAUCCAGGCCUUUGCCUCUGAAGGUGCUCACAGAUGACGACCAAGUGGCUGGGGCAGGCACCCAUGUGGGGACGGGAUGCCGCACCCAUGGACUCCAGGGGCCAGGAAGAGGAUCCUUCAGCGACCUGCCCGGGAGCCUGGAAGCUUCCACAGGGCAGGAGGGUGCGUUCUGCAAACUGUACCGUGCAACCCUGAGGGCGGCUGCUGCCCGGCUCCCUGCAGGCCCCGAGGCUCCCGUCUCCAUCCACAUCUUCCUGGCUUCCCUCCCACAGGCUCAAGGGCAAGAGCGUGCACCGUGCGGACACCAUGUCCACCCACUGGCCGUGGAUGCUCCGGUGUCUGGGGAGUGUCUCGGGUGCCCCAGGAGCCAUCCCUCUCCAGUUUUCUCUGCAAAGGUUCAUGAUGAUGUUGUGGCUGAGUUUAGAAAGAGACUUUCUUUUAUCUGCCCAAAAUGCUUGGACGUUUUCUGUCCCCUUCAUUUCACUCCUGGAAAAGACAAAGCUCAGGACAAUCUGUGGGUGUCUCUCUUCUUCUGAAGCCAAGAGCCACUUUUGGGUUUUUUUGUUUGUUUGGAUGGAGUUUCGUUUUGUCGCCCAGGCUGGAGUGCAAUGGCGUGAUCUUGGCUCACUGCAACCUCUGCCUCCUGGGUUCAAGCGAUUCUCCUGCCUCAGCUUCCUGAGUAGCUGGGAUUACAGGCACGUGAGACCACGCCCGGCUAAUUUUUAUAUUUGUUUGUAGAGAUGGGGUCUCCUUAUGUUUCCCAGGCUGGUCUAGAACUUCUGGGCUCAAGCAAUCUGCCCGCCUCGGCGUCCUAAAGUGCUAGGAUUAUAGGUGUGAGCCAUCACGCCAGGUCAAGAGCCACUUUCUAAAGUAACCUUUGGACAUGCUACCCCCCUACCCAGGCCCUGGGUCCCCUCCCAGCUCCUGGGGCUGCUCCACCUUACAGGGCUCUCCCGAGGAGGCCUGACCCGCCCACCCCACUCUCUGCAUGGAUGGGCAGAGGCUCUCUCUCUGCCCACUCUGGGCCUUGCUGACACCUGGGCCUUGCCUCCAUGUCCCAGGUGAGCCUGGCCUCUCUCUGGCUUUCAGAGUCACACACUAGCAGGUCCCAAGCUAGCGGCACAGAGCUCUUCCUUCUGCCUCAACGCCACCCACCCUUCUCAGCAGAAGACCCAGCACAUCCUGCCUCCGCUCCUUCUACCAGGCUCCAGAGAGAGCUGCCCCGUGAUCCACGCACACACCCGUGCCCAGGGGUCCACACCGCCAAGCGACAGCACACUGGGCGCAGUGUCUGCUUGCUCUGCCUCCUGCCUCAGGACCUGGGUCCCCCAGACACCCAACUGCUCCCUCCCGGAGGCUCGGAAGCCAGCAAAGGAAGGGAUAACCAUCAUUUAUUCAUCCAUCCAUCCGUCCAUCCAUCCAUCCAUCCAUCCAUCCAUCCAUUUAUCCAUCCAUCCAUCCAUCCAUCCACCCACCCACCCAUUCACCCAUCUGUCCAUCCAUCCAUCCAUCCAUCCAUCCAUCCACCCACCCACCCAUUCACCCAUCUGUCCAUCCAUCCAUCCAUCCAUCCAUCCAUCCAUCCAUCCAUCCCACCCCACCCAUUCACCCAUCUUCCAUCCCAUCCAUCCAUCCCAUCCCAUCCAUCCAUCCAUCCACCCACCCACCCAUUCACCCAUCUGUCCAUCCAUCCAUCCAUCCAUCCAUCCAUCCAUCCACCCACCCACCCAUCACCCAUCUGUCCAUCCAUCCACCCAUCCAUCCAUCCACCCAUCCAUCCAUCCAUCCAUCCACCCCACCCACCCACUCAACCAUCCAUCCAUCCAUCUUUCCAUCCAUCUGUGUAUAUUUAUGUAUUUUAAGGAAUUUCCUCAUGCAAUUGUGGAGUCUGAAAUCUGCAAGGCAGGUGGCAGCCUGGAGACCUAAGUAGAGCUGCAGUUGGAGUCCCAGGGCCUCUGCUAGCAGAAUUCCUUCUUGCUUGGGGAGGUCCAUCUUGGUUUUCUUAAGACCUUCAACUGAUUGAAUGAGGCCCACCUGCAUUUUGGAGAGCCACCUGCUUCCCCAAAGUCCACUGAUUGAAAUGUUAGUCUCAGCCAGAAAGCACCCUCCCAGAAACAUAAGAACCAGAAUUAGUGCUUGACCAAAUAUCUGGGCACCGUGGCCCAGCCAAGUUGACACAAUUACCCAUCACAAUGCUGGUGCCAGGGAAGGGAAGGAAAAGCUCUUCCCUGUGAGCUGGUGACCUGGGGUCCUGGGCUGGGAUAGCUCAACAGGAAGUAAAUGUCCUUCUCCAGAGACAGCCCUUCUGUGUCUACAGAUGUCCUGAUGUAACAUGUCUUUUAAAAUGAGGGUUUGUUCAUGAAAUUUUUUUCUUAACCAAUGAAAUGGAUUAAAUAG
rnacentral:lncRNA from 1 species